rnacentral:lncRNA from 1 species
UCUUUCUAGUCAGUUUUCUGUAAGCUACUAUGUCCUCUUGUAAAUUACUUUUAUUUUUUAGGGUGAGGAAGAGCUUCAUCAAUGCAAAUUGGUACAAGCAAACAAUGAUUUUCAUCAAAAAUUAUAUGUAUUUUUUGUCCAUAGAAAUACAAGAUCCUGUAUGGUGGCUCAAUUGCAGUGAAGAGUUGCCAGAAGUGGUUAACAGAAAACAGGCAUGAAUUGAAUUUUUGGUUUUGAGUUAAGCAGGAAAAAAAGAAAUGGAAGAGAGAAUAUUUCCCUUGCUCUCUGUUUCUUCCUCUCAUUUUAAUGCAUCUCAAGACUAAAACCAUGAUUUUCAACAAAUACUUUUGAAAAUGGAGCUCAUGAAUUGAUGUCAGCAACCAGCAAGGAAAGAAAAAAGAUGUCCUAUCCCAAGGAAUACAAGAGAGUUAUCAAACAUGGCUGUGUCCCUCUUGCCACUUUGAUGCCAAGGGACUCGUCGAGCUGUAAACCCACAUCAUUGUUUGAGAGGCCAUCAAGACCCAAGCAGACCUACGUGCAGUUUCACAAGGCACCCAGUUUUGGAGACA